rnacentral:rRNA from 1 species
CGGACGAAGCUGCGGCGUGCCUAAUACAAUGGCAAGUAGAAACGACUGAAGGAAGGGAAGGACUUUGCGUCUUUCCGGAGUUGAGUUGCGAACGGGUCGGAGUAACGCGUAGGUAACCUGCCUGGUAGCGGGGGAGUAACUAUUGGUAAACGGAUAGCUAAUAACCGCAUAACAAGUAGAUAUCGCAUGAUAGGCUGCUUGAAAGGUAGCAAAUGCACCACUACCAGAUGGACCUGCGUUGUAUUAGCUAGUUGGUGAGGUAACGGCUCACCAAGGCAACGAUACAUAGCCGACCUGAGAGGGUGAUCGGCCACACUGGGACUGAGACACGGCCCAGACUCCUACGGGAGGCAGCAGUAGGGAAUCUUCGGCAAUGAACGGAAGUCUGACCGAGCAACGCCGCGUGAGUGAAGAAGGUUUUCGGAUCGUAAAGCUCUGUUGUAAGAGAAGAACGAGUGUGGGAGUGGAAAGUUCACACUGUGACGGUAUCUUACCAGAAAGGGACGGCUAACUACGUG